UACAGAGGGUGCAAGCGUUGUUCGGAAUUAUUGGGCGUAAAGCGCGUGUAGGCGGCUUUGCAAGUCGGGUGUGAAAGCCCUCAGCUUAACUGAGGAAGUGCGCCCGAAACUGCAGAGCUUGAGUACCGGAGAGGAUGGUGGAAUUCCCCAAGUAGAGGUGAAAUUCGUAGAUAUGGGGAGGAACACCGGUGGCGAAGGCGACCAUCUGGACGGAUACUGACGCUGAGACGCGAAAGCGUGGGUAGCAAACAGGAUUAGAAACCCCCGUAGUCC
rnacentral:rRNA from 1 species